rnacentral:rRNA from 1 species
GAUGAACGCUGGCGGCGUGCUUAACACAUGCAAGUCGAACGUGAGAAUAGCAAUAUUUGAAAGUGGCAAACGGGUGAGUAACACGUGGGAACCUGCCUCGAAGUGGGGGAUAACGAUUGGAAACGGUCGCUAAUACCGCACGGUUCUGCUCUGAUGGGAAUGGAGCAGAUAAAGAUUUAUCGCUUUGAGAGGGGCCCGCGGCCGAUUAGCUAGUUGGUAAGGUAAAGGCUUACCAAGGCGAUUAUCGGUAGCUGGUCUGAGAGGACGAUCAGCCACACGGGAACUGAGACACGGUCCCGACUCCUACGGGGGGCAGCAGUGAGGAAUAUUGGGCAAUGGGCGAAAGCCUGACCCAGCAACGCCGCGUGGAGGAUGAAGUAUUUCGGUAUGUAAACUUCGAAAGAAUAGGAAGAAUAAAUGACGGUACUAUUUAUAAGGUCCGGCUAACUACGUG